rnacentral:rRNA from 1 species
GCGAAUGCAGCUGAAGUAGUUCCCCUUCAGGCUCAGGAAGUGUCGAAUCGGCUUGCUGGCUGGUGGAAGCCGUGAGGCGCCGGCAGUUGGACGGCCGGUCGACUGAUCUGCACUCCUGGGGGGAGUUGGCCAACAACAGUUGCCUCUGGCUCACAAGGGCGGUUGGGUAGGUAGCCUCCUCUUCGAGGUGGAACUUAUAGCCAUCCGUCUGGCAGUCUGGAGACGACUGAGGAGAGUUGUGAACUUUCACACUUGCAGCGCAGGCCCACCUGGGCCGGACCGCCUCUUUCCGUUUGGGCGCCGCUCCGGGGACUGCUUGCAGUGUCCGCUGACGAACGUCUGCUCGGUCGGGGGAAUGGUCACGUCUUGUGCUGCAGAUGUGCGCCAAAUUGCC